AUGAGAAAUAAAGAUGAAAUUGUUUUUUUUCUGCAGAUUGUAUAUGUUUGGCCAGUUGUGUUGCGGCUUGGUUUUAAUAUCUGUCUUGAGAGGUUAGAGACAGGUGUGGUGCGUGCAGCAGGCGUUCCGGGUCAUCGUCAGCUACAUAGCAAGUUCAAGGCUAUAGGAAGCCUUGUUCAAAAACAAAUUUUAAAAUUUAAGUAAGUAGUAGAGAAUUCAAAUAGCAAACGAUACAUGAAGCUGAGCAUGUUGACUCCUGCCUGCAGUGUCAGCGCUCCAGGGGCAAAGACAGAGGGUUGAGUUUAAGGUCAGCUUGAGCUGUUGAGCAAGAUCCAAGGCUUAGCUCCGUGGUAGGACGCUAACCUAACAAGCACAAGGAACACUCAGCACUUGGGGAAGUAUAUAUAUAUAGCCUACCUUUGACUUGCCUUUAGCCCAGGCCACUGGUCCAUCUCUACAGGGGUUGGGAACUGCCUGACAUGGGUGCUGGAACUCGAACUCAGAUCUUCUUACAAGAGCAGUGUGUUCUCUCAAUAGCUGAUCCUUCUCUGCAGCCUGAGGCUACACCGUUAAGACUACCUGGAUCUUUUGUUGUUUCAUUUUUUUGUUUGUUUGUUUGUUUUUCCCUUCAUGAAUUUGGAUGAACUCCUUGUGCAGAGACCAUGCUAAUCUCUGUCCUGAUCUAAUUUUAGUGUGUGUGCUGCUGAAGGGAGCAUGUGUUUUGUUGUUGUUGUUGUUUUUAUUGUUGUUGUUUUAAGACAGAGUUUCUCUGGCUGUCCUGGAACUCAGUCUGUAGACCAGGCUGGCCUCAGAGAUUCCCCUGCCACUGCCUCCUAAGCACUAGGAUUAGAAAGGCCUGUGCCACCACUGCCAGGUUGCAUCUUUGUUGUUUAAUGUGUUUUGGUCAUUAUUCCCCAUUAGCAAUAGAUGUGCCCUAUCCUGAUACUCAAACUUUGCAGUCUUUUACAAAGUAUGCUCCAAAAAAAUGACCACAGUGAACUUAGCUUUUGAAAUCGAUUUUAGGUUUUCUUUCUCGGUCUCCUUCAUUUCCUACCAGCUGAACUCUAACCCAACCCUUAGCUCAUUAAAAAGAAAUUGCAUGUGUGUACAGGAUUGCUCACACAUGCCUGGGGAGGGGAGAGGAGGGUGUCAGACUCCAUGCAGGUCAUAGGUGGUUGUGAGCCAGCAGGUAGAGAUUAGACUUGGGUCAUGUGGAAGGACGGCAAGUGCUCUUAACAGUGGAAACGUCUCUCCAGCCCCUUGCUUUGUUUCUUGAGGCAGGGUGUUGUAGCUCAGGCUGGCGAUUAAGUGUGUGCCACUAUGCUCAGUGUUGGUUGGUUGGUUUGUUUCCUUUGAAAUAGUUCUCAAGUUCAUGGCAAAUAAGGACAUUUCCCCUAAUGUGCACCAAGCACCGUGCUGGGUGUUAGAGAUACAGCCAAGCAAACUGGCUUGAGGUUUUGCCUCUGUGACAGUUAUGGCCUAGUAGAAAAGACCUCCAUGAAAGACAUGAUUAACUGUUGCUGCGUUCCCAAUGUAGGCAGCUAAUGGGGAGCCCAGGCUGACUGAGGAGAGGGCAGUCGGGAGAACUUGGAGGGACUGACUUUUAAGGUGAAACCUUAGGAUGAGGGAGGAUUUAAAGGUGUGGAAAGAAAGCCCUUAUACGCCCAGGUGAGAAGAGAAAGAUCAGGGCCAAGAGAAGGCACUUGAGUUAGCUAACUGGUUAAUUUCUAUGGUACUGAAGACCAGACCAAGGGCCUGCUUGAGGCCAGGCAAGUCCCUGCCUCUGAGCUUCCCCCCCACGUGAGCUUCAGAGACUGCUAAGCUCAGCAUCAGGAAAUGUGCGGGGGAACUCUCUCCACAGUGCUGGCUACUGCUGUGGAUGCUGAAGUUGCCUGCAUCUUUAUCUUUGUCUUUGGAUCUUGUUUCCCACCAGAAUUCCCCUUAGUAACGCCUAUCCCUUUAGUCUCAUCUUCUCCUGGUUUUGUAAAUUAAGCCUGGUUGGCUGGACUAGGUUUUAAGAUUCCUGGGGAGCAGUCCUUAGAUUAAGGGGGUGCUGGGGUUUAAGUUGGUGACUGAGGGAACAAAAGGUCUGUAGUUGUAGGGAAUCAUGACGGCUUUUCUGGAUGUUCCCGGGGCCAAGCAGAGAAUACAGAUAUUCUUAUAUGAGCUUGUGAGAAUAGUGUUCUAUCAUCCAAUCAUCUGGGGUGUGUUUUUCCACAGGACACGCAAGUGAAUGAGUGCCCUGAGGGAGGGCUGUCCUGACCCAGAAUGGAUGGAGGCAUUUUUAUCUGGGGCCAUUCUAACAGUGGGAAAGCAUUGGAAGCUGCUGACUUUGGUUCAGAGAGCCCAGCAUUCACAGCCCAGAUGGUCCUGUGUGACUGAGUACUUUUCUUAUGUAAUUGGAUCAGCCUGCUCUGCUUUCAUAACUUCAAGCAGACUCUUGAUUUAGCCCUAACGCUGGCGAUCAAGGAGCCCUGAUGUGCAAGUGCUUCCAGCAGCUCUGCAAGAGGCGGCUGCAUUUCUGGUGGCUCAAGGGUAUGAGCAUGUGAGAGGAAUGUCAUGGUGCUGGCAUUAGAUUAUCUGUGGUGAGUUGGGACUUACUACAUUCUUUGAAAUGAGGCAUGGCAGCUCUCCCUCUGUGGUGUGACGCUCAUGGGGCUUCUGCUUAGAGUUUCUGUCAGGCCUUUUCUUAGUGAAGUCUGUUACUGGCUUCCUUCCUUUCUCUGGAUGUGCUUACUGCUUUGUGUUUGCGGUGUGCACAUGAAGGAUGCUCUGAUGGAGGUGGGCAGCUACUUUAAGAGAUAUGGCUAGCUUACAGUAAGAGCCUAUUUUGCCAUCAGAGAGUAGGUCUCUGUCUUUUUUGUUUGUAUUAGAUUUAUUUUAUUUUAUUUUUUUAAAGACAGACACUCACAGUGUAGUCUUGACUGGCUGGCCUGGAACUCUGGGUCUGGUUAUUGUAAUGCUACCCU
rnacentral:lncRNA from 1 species